CCUACGGGUGGCAGCAGUGAGGAAUAUUGGUCAAUGGGCGCGAGCCUGAACCAGCCAAGUAGCGUGAGGGAUGACGGCCCUACGGGUUGUAAACCUCUUUUGUAAGGGAGUAAAGGGAGGCACGUGUGCCUUUUUGAGAGUACCUUAAGAAUAAGCAUCGGCUAACUCCGUGCCAGCAGCCGCGGUAAUACGGAGGAUGCGAGCGUUAUCCGGAUUUAUUGGGUUUAAAGGGAGCGUAGUGGGUUGUUCAAGUCAGCGGUAAAAUUUGGGGGCUCAACCUCAUAAUGCCUUUGAAACUGGAAGCCUUGAGUGCGCUUGAGGUAGGCGGAAUGCGUGGUGUAGCGGUGAAAUGCAUAGAUAUCACGCAGAACUCCGAUUGCGAAGGCAGCUUAC
rnacentral:rRNA from 1 species